rnacentral:tRNA from 1 species
UUCCUGGUGGUUCAGUGGUUAGGAUCCUGCACUCUCAUUGCCAAAGGCCUGGGUUCAAUCCCUGGUCAGGGAA